rnacentral:rRNA from 1 species
AGAGUUUGAUCCUGGCUCAGGAUGAACGCUAGCUACAGGCUUAACACAUGCAAGUCGAGGGGAAACGAUAUUGGAAGCUUGCUUCCGAUAGGCGUCGACCGGCGCACGGGUGAGUAACGCGUAUCCAACCUGCCCACCACUUGGGGAUAACCUUGCGAAAGUAAGACUAAUACCCAAUAACGUCUCUAGAAGACAUCUGAAGGAGAUUAAAGAUUUAUCGGUGAUGGAUGGGGAUGCGUCUGAUUAGCUUGUUGGCGGGGUAACGGCCCACCAAGGCAACGAUCAGUAGGGGUUCUGAGAGGAAGGUCCCCCACAUUGGAACUGAGACACGGUCCAAACUCCUACGGGAGGCAGCAGUGAGGAAUAUUGGUCAAUGGGCGAGAGCCUGAACCAGCCAAGUAGCGUGCAGGAAGACGGCCCUAUGGGUUGUAAACUGCUUUUAUAAGGGAAUAAAGUUAGUCUCGUGAGACUUUUUGCAUGUACCUUAUGAAUAAGGACCGGCUAAUUCCGUGCCAGCAGCCGCGGUAAUACGGAAGGUCCGGGCGUUAUCCGGAUUUAUUGGGUUUAAAGGGAGCGUAGGCCGGAGAUUAAGCGUGUUGUGAAAUGUAGACGCUCAACGUCUGCACUGCAGCGCGAACUGGUUUCCUUGAGUACGCACAAAGUGGGCGGAAUUCGUGGUGUAGCGGUGAAAUGCUUAGAUAUCACGAAGAACUCCGAUUGCGAAGGCAGCUCACUGGAGCGCAACUGACGCUGAAGCUCGAAAGUGCGGGUAUCGAACAGGAUUAGAUACCCUGGUAGUCCGCACGGUAAACGAUGGAUGCCCGCUGUUGGUCUGAACAGGUCAGCGGCCAAGCGAAAGCAUUAAGCAUCCCACCUGGGGAGUACGCCGGCAACGGUGAAACUCAAAGGAAUUGACGGGGGCCCGCACAAGCGGAGGAACAUGUGGUUUAAUUCGAUGAUACGCGAGGAACCUUACCCGGGCUUGAAUUGCAGAGGAAGGAUUUGGAGACAAUGACGCCCUUCGGGGUCUCUGUGAAGGUGCUGCAUGGUUGUCGUCAGCUCGUGCCGUGAGGUGUCGGCUUAAGUGCCAUAACGAGCGCAACCCCUCUCCUUAGUUGCCAUCAGGUUAAGCUGGGCACUCUGGGGACACUGCCACCGUAAGGUGUGAGGAAGGUGGGGAUGACGUCAAAUCAGCACGGCCCUUACGUCCGGGGCUACACAC